rnacentral:rRNA from 1 species
UCGCACCUGUGCGUCCCUUGGUAUUCCCAGGAGCAUGCCUGUUUGAGUGUCAUUAAAUUCUCAACCUUUCCAGCUUUUAUUAGCUUGGUUAGGCUUGGAUGUGGGAGUUGCAGGCCUCACUUAUGAGGUCAGCUCUUCUUAAAUGCAUUAGUGGAACUUUUGUGGACCGCCUAUUGGUGUGAUAAUUAUCUAUGCCGUGGAUGUGAAACAGCUUAAUAAAGUUCAGCUUCUAACUGUCCAUUGACUUGGACAAUUUUGACAAUUUGACCUCAAAUCAGGUAGGACUACCUGCUGAACUUA